GACGAACGCUGGCGGCGUGCUUAACACAUGCAAGUCGAACGAUGAAGCCGGAGCUUGCUCUGGUGAAUUAGUGGCGAACGGGUGAAUAACACGUGAGUAACCUGCCCUUGACUCUGGGAUAACUGCUAGAAAUGGUAGCUAAUACCGGAUACGACCCUCGGCGGCAUCGCCAGGGGGUGGAAAGAAUUUCGGUCAAGGAUGGACUCGCGGCCUAUCAGCUAGUUGGUGAGGUAACGGCUCACCAAGGCGACGACGGGUAGCCGGCCUGAGAGGGUGACCGGCCACACUGGGACUGAGACACGGCCCAGACUCCUACAGGAGGCAGCAGUGGGGGAUAUUGCACAAUGGGCGCAAGCCUGAUGCAGCAACGCCGCGUGAGGGAUGACGGCCUUCGGGUUGUAAACCUCUUUUAGUAGGGAAGAAGCGAAAGUGACGGUACCUGCAGAAAAAGCACCGGCUAACUACGUGCCAGCCGCCGCGGUAA
rnacentral:rRNA from 1 species